rnacentral:rRNA from 1 species
AUUGGAGGGCAAGUCUGGUGCCAGCAGCCGCGGUAAUUCCAGCUCCAAUAGCGUAUAUUAAAGUUGUUGCAGUUAAAAAGCUCGUAGUUGGAUUUCUGUUAAUAAUUUAUAUAUAAUAUUUAACAUAUUUAUAUAAUAUUAACAUAAUUCAUAUUACUAUUUUGAUAGUAUAUGAAACUUUACUUUGAGAAAAUUAGAGUGCUUAAAGCAGGCUUUAGCCUUGAAUACUAGAGCAUGGAAUAAUAUUAAAGAUUUUUAUCUUUCUUAUUGGUUCUAAGAUAGAAAUAAUGAUUAAUAGGGACAGUUGGGGGCAUUUGUAUUUAACAGUUAGAGGUGAAAUUCUUAGAUUUGUUAAAGACAAACUAAUGCGAAAGCAUUUGCCAAGGAUGUUUUCAUUAAUCAAGAACGAAAGUUAGGGGAUCGAAGACGAUCAGAUACCGUCGUAGUCUUAACCAUAAACUAUGCCAACUAGAGAUUGGAGGUUGUUCCUUACUCCUUCAGCACCUUA